ACACGGUCCAGACUCCUACGGGAGGCAGCAGUGGGGAAUAUUGGACAAUGGGCGAAAGCCUGAUCCAGCCAUGCCGCGUGUGUGAAGAAGGUCUUCGGAUUGUAAAGCACUUUAAGUUGGGAGGAAGGGCAGUAAGUUAAUACCUUGCUGUUUUGACGUUACCAACAGAAUAAGCACCGGCUAACUUCGUGCCAGCAGCCGCGGUAAUACGAAGGGUGCAAGCGUUAAUCGGAAUUACUGGGCGUAAAGCGCGCGUAGGUGGUUCAGCAAGUUGGAUGUGAAAUCCCCGGGCUCAACCUGGGAACUGCAUCCAAAACUACUGAGCUAGAGUACGGUAGAGGGUGGUGGAAUUUCCUGUGUAGCGGUGAAAUGCGUAGAUAUAGGAAGGAACACCAGUGGCGAAGGCGACCACCUGGACUGAUACUGACACUGAGGUGCGAAAGCGUGGGGAGCAAACAGG
rnacentral:rRNA from 1 species